GAUGAACGCUAGCUACAGGCUUAACACAUGCAAGUCGAGGGGCAGCAUGGGAGUUGCUUGCAAUUCCUGAUGGCGACCGGCGCACGGGUGAGUAACGCGUAUCCAACCUUCCCUUAACUUGGGAAUAGCCCGGUGAAAACCGGAUUAAUGCCCGAUGUGGUCCAGCGAGGGCAUCUGACCCGGACCAAAGAAUUUGUCGGUUAAGGAUGGGGAUGCGUCUGAUUAGCUUGUUGGUGAGAUAACAGCCCACCAAGGCGACGAUCGGUAGCCGACCUGAGAGGGUGAUCGGCCACAUUGGAACUGAGAUACGGUCCAGACUCC
rnacentral:rRNA from 1 species